rnacentral:rRNA from 1 species
UACGUAGGGGGCAAGCGUUGUUCGGAAUUACUGGGCGUAAAGGACGCGUAGGCGGCGACCCAAGUCAGAUGUGAAAGUCCUGGGCUUAACCUGGGGACUGCAUUUGAUACUGGGUUGCUUGAAUUCGGGAGAGGAUAGCGGAAUUCCCAGUGUAGAGGUGAAAUUCGUAGAUAUUGGGAAGAACACCGGUGGCGAAGGCGGCUAUCUGGACCGACAUUGACGCUGAGGCGCGAAAGCGUGGGGAGCAAACAGG